CUGGUGUGUUACUGUUAUGUGGAGAUAUGUCUGGGUAUAUUUUAUGGAGAAAUGAGCUGGGAGAAAACAAGAAGAAGUGAGAAAAUCACAUCACAUCUGAAAGCAACAGGAAGUUCAGGGGCCCAGCAGACCAGACAAGCCCCCAGCAGGCUCCUUCCUCCUGGGCUCAGAGGGACCACCGGGCCCGGGCCCUCUGGAGAGAAAAUACUGACCCUGAUUAAGGAAGGUCAACUGGACUGUGCUGAACAAUGGACAAUCAUACGACUUUGUGUGUGUGCCUGAAGUCUCGAAACUUUGUGUAUAAGCACAUGACUAUGUGAGAACUCUCACAGGAUGUAAUCCACAAACUCAAAUUAUAAUAUUUUGUGUGAACGCAGGUUGUGUGUGUGUCUAGUUUUCGGCAAUCUCCGCCGCAGCUCAAUAACGAUGUACAUGAUGUGGGUUUUGUUGUAGCGAUGACACGAGUUUAUUUUGUAUUUGUGAUGAAGAUGUGCGUGCGUUUAGAAAUGUAUAUCCCCAAAGUGAUUUCACACACAAAAAACAACCCACAAUUAUUUCUCUUUCUUGUAUAGACACGCUUUAGUAGUCGUCUAAGUAGUCUGUAGACAUGCCAGAAUCCAACAUUACACACACGCACACCAGAGACAAUACUCACGGCUUAAAUAACCUGUCAAAACAUAACAGAGGGGACAGACGGGAGACAGAAAAGAACAUUUGAGACGGAGGUAAAGACGGAUGGA